GGGUUGUGAGGUUAAGCGACUAAGCGUACACGGUGGAUGCCCUGGCAGUCAGAGGCGAUGAAGGACGUGCUAAUCUGCGAAAAGCGUCGGUAAGGUGAUAUGAACCGUUACAGCCGGCGAUGUCCGAAUGGGGAAACCCAGUGCAAUUCGUUGCACUAUCGUUAACUGAAUACAUAGGUUAACGAGGCGAACCGGGGGAACUGAAACAUCUAAGUACCCCGAGGAAAAGAAAUCAACCGAGAUUCCCCCAGUAGCGGCGAGCGAACGGGGAGCAGCCCAGAGUCUGAAUCAGCUUGUGUGUUAGUGGAACGGUCUGGAAAGUCCGACGGUACAGGGUGAUAGUCCCGUACACCAAAAUGCACAGGUUGUGAACUCGAAGAGUAGGGCGGGACACGUGGUAUCCUGUCUGAAUAUGGGGGGACCAUCCUCCAAGGCUAAAUACUCCUGACUGACCGAUAGUGAACCAGUACCGUGAGGGAAAGGCGAAAAGAACCCCGGCGAGGGGAGUGAAAAAGAACCUGAAACCGUGUACGUACAAGCAGUGGGAGCACCUUCGGGUGUGACUGCGUACCUUUUGUAUAAUGGGUCAGCGACUUAUAUUCUGUAGCAAGGUUAACCGUAUAGGGGAGCCGCAGGGAAACCGAGUCUUAACUGGGCGUUAAGUUGCAGGGUAUAGACCCGAAACCCGGUGAUCUAGCCAUGGGCAGGUUGAAGGUUGGGUAACACUAACUGGAGGACCGAACCGACUAAUGUUGAAAAAUUAGCGGAUGACUUGUGGCUGGGGGUGAAAGGCCAAUCAAACCGGGAGAUAGCUGGUUCUCCCCGAAAGCUAUUUAGGUAGCGCCUCGUGAACUCAUCUUCGGGGGUAGAGCACUGUUUCGGCUAGGGGGUCAUCCCGACUUACCAACCCGAUGCAAACUACGAAUACCGAAGAAUGUUAUCACGGGAGACACACGGCGGGUGCUAACGUCCGUCGUGAAGAGGGAAACAACCCAGACCGCCAGCUAAGGUCCCAAAGUCAUGGUUAAGUGGGAAACGAUGUGGGAAGGCACAGACAGCCAGGAUGUUGGCUUAGAAGCAGCCAUCAUUUAAAGAAAGCGUAAUAGCUCACUGGUCGAGUCGGCCUGCGCGGAAGAUGUAACGGGGCUAAACCAUGCACCGAAGCUGCGGCAGCGACACUAUGUGUUGUUGGGUAGGGGAGCGUUCUGUAAGCCUGCGAAGGUGACCUGUGAGGGUUGCUGGAGGUAUCAGAAGUGCGAAUGCUGACAUAAGUAACGAUAAAGCGGGUGAAAAGCCCGCUCGCCGGAAGACCAAGGGUUCCUGUCCAACGUUAAUCGGGGCAGGGUGAGUCGACCCCUAAGGCGAGGCCGAAAGGCGUAGUCGAUGGGAAACAGGUUAAUAUUCCUGUACUUGGUGUUACUGCGAAGGGGGGACGGAGAAGGCUAUGUUAGCCGGGCGACGGUUGUCCCGGUUUAAGCAUGUAGGCGGAGGUUCCAGGUAAAUCCGGUACCUUUUAACGCUGAGGUGUGAUGACGAGGCACUACGGUGCUGAAGUAACAAAUGCCCUGCUUCCAGGAAAAGCCUCUAAGCAUCAGGUAACAUUGAAUCGUACCCCAAACCGACACAGGUGGUCAGGUAGAGAAUACCAAGGCGCUUGAGAGAACUCGGGUGAAGGAACUAGGCAAAAUGGUGCCGUAACUUCGGGAGAAGGCACGCUGGUGUGUAGGUGAAGUCCCUGCGGACGGAGCUGAGACCAGUCGAAGAUACCAGCUGGCUGCAACUGUUUAUUAAAAACACAGCACUGUGCAAACACGAAAGUGGACGUAUACGGUGUGACGCCUGCCCGGUGCCGGAAGGUUAAUUGAUGGGGUUAUCCGUAAGGAGAAGCUCUUGAUCGAAGCCCCGGUAAACGGCGGCCGUAACUAUAACGGUCCUAAGGUAGCGAAAUUCCUUGUCGGGUAAGUUCCGACCUGCACGAAUGGCGUAAUGAUGGCCAGGCUGUCUCCACCCGAGACUCAGUGAAAUUGAACUCGCUGUGAAGAUGCAGUGUACCCGCGGCAAGACGGAAAGACCCCGUGAACCUUUACUAUAGCUUGACACUGAACAUUGAGCCUUGAUGUGUAGGAUAGGUGGGAGGCUUUGAAGCGUGGACGCCAGUCUGCGUGGAGCCAACCUUGAAAUACCACCCUUUAAUGUUUGAUGUUCUAACGUUGGCCCCUUAUCGGGGUUGCGGACAGUGUCUGGUGGGUAGUUUGACUGGGGCGGUCUCCUCCCAAAGAGUAACGGAGGAGCACGAAGGUUAGCUAAUCCUGGUCGGACAUCAGGAGGUUAGUGCAAUGGCAUAAGCUAGCUUGACUGCGAGCGUGACGGCGCGAGCAGGUGCGAAAGCAGGUCAUAGUGAUCCGGUGGUUCUGAAUGGAAGGGCCAUCGCUCAACGGAUAAAAGGUACUCCGGGGAUAACAGGCUGAUACCGCCCAAGAGUUCAUAUCGACGGCGGUGUUUGGCACCUCGAUGUCGGCUCAUCACAUCCUGGGGCUGAAGUAGGUCCCAAGGGUAUGGCUGUUCGCCAUUUAAAGUGGUACGCGAGCUGGGUUUAGAACGUCGUGAGACAGUUCGGUCCCUAUCUGCCGUGGGCGCUGGAGAAUUGAGGGGGGCUGCUCCUAGUACGAGAGGACCGGAGUGGACGCAUCACUGGUGUUCGGGUUGUCAUGCCAAUGGCACUGCCCGGUAGCUAAAUGCGGAAGAGAUAAGUGCUGAAAGCAUCUAAGCACGAAACUUGCCCCGAGAUGAGUUCUCCCUGAGACUUUAAGUCUCCUGAAGGAACGUUGAAGACGACGACGUUGAUAGGCCGGGUGUGUAAGCGCAGCGAUGCGUUGAGCUAACCGGUACUAAUGAACCGUGAGGCUUAACCUUACAACGCCGAAG
rnacentral:rRNA from 1 species